GUUAUUUUAAAUAUUGUUUAUAAUGACAUAAGUGGGUAAUUUUGAUGAAGAUUAGGGGGUAGUUUAGUUAAUUUUAUAUAAUGGCAGAGGUGAGUAAUUUAGAUAUAGAUUUAGGGGUUACUUUACGCUAUUUUCAUAAUAGCAUAGGUGGGUAAUUUUUUAGAAAACAUAAUAAAUCCAAUAGCUACGAUGAUUUGAGUCUACCGAUUGAUGGCUAGAUGUUUUGCUUUUGUGAGAAUUUUUAAAAUUUCUCUACGAAUUUUAGGUGGCUUCACUAAAGUUUUAAAAGGAACUUUCAAUUAGUAAUAGUAAGAUACCCUCGUGUUUCGUGGUUUCAGAAA
rnacentral:lncRNA from 1 species